GAUGAACGCUGGCGGCGUGCCUAAUACAUGCAAGUCGAGCGAACGGACGAGAAGCUUGCUUUUCUGAUGUUAGCGGCGGACGGGUGAGUAACACGUGGAUAACCUACCUAUAAGACUGGGAUAACUUCGGGAAACCGGAGCUAAUACCGGAUAAUAUUUUAAACCGCAUGGUUCAAAAGUGAAAGACGGUCUUGCUGUCACUUAUAGAUGGAUCCGCGCUGCAUUAGCUAGUUGGUAAGGUAACGGCUUACCAAGGCAACGAUGCAUAGCCGACCUGAGAGGGUGAUCGGCCACACUGGAACUGAGACACGGUCCAGACUCCUACGGGAGGCAGCAGUAGAGAAUCUUCCGCAAUGGGCGAAAGCCUGACGGAGCAACGCCGCGUGAGUGAUGAAGGUCUUCGGAUCGGAAAACUCUGUUAUUAGGGAAGAACAUAUGUGUAAGUAACUGUGCACAUCUUGACGGUACCUAAUCAGAAAGCCACGGCUAACUACGUG
rnacentral:rRNA from 1 species